UAGGGGGCAAGCGUUAUCCGGAUUUACUGGGUGUAAAGGGAGCGUAGACGGCAUGGCAAGUCUGAUGUGAAAACCCGGGGCUCAACCGCGGGACUGCAUUGGAAACUGUCAGGCUGGAGUGUCGGAGAGGCAAGUGGAAUUCCUAGUGUAGCGGUGAAAUGCGUAGAUAUUAGGAGGAACACCAGUGGCGAAGGCGGCUUGCUGGACGAUGACUGACGUUGAGGCUCGAAAGCGUGGGGAGCAAA
rnacentral:rRNA from 1 species